AAUUCAAUUUAUUAAUAUCAUUUUUACUAAUUAAUUUUUGGCUAAUUAAUAACUGCGCGGCAAAACUCUUGACAAGUAAACGUUGCAAAUUUCUAACUUCACGAAAAUUUUUUUUAUUUAAUUGCUUAACGAUGCGAUUUUGAAAUUUUAAAAUUUUUUUAUUAACACUAUACCAAUUUAUUUUUGUUGAAGUUUUUAAAUUGUUUUCUAGAAAUAUAUUCAUUUAUAAAACUCAUAUGAUAAAGAAAUAUCCUCUUCAGGUAGGAUUUGAACCUACAACCUCUCGGUUAACAGCCGUUUGCUCUACCCUUGAGCUACUGAAGAAUCUUAGACUUAUAAUAUCAUUUUCUUUUUGACCUUUUCAAAUAAUUUAUUAUUUAUUUUUUGUUAAAUAUUAUAUAUUAAUAUAUAAAUAUUAAUUAAAUUAAUAUCAGUUUAUUGUUAUACUGUAUACUAACAAUCUUAUAUAUAUGAUAAGAUUAU
rnacentral:tRNA from 1 species